AACGAACGCUGGCGGCAGGCUUAACACAUGCAAGUCGGACGCAUCCUUCGGGGUGAGUGGCAGACGGGUGAGUAACGCGUGGGAACGUGCCCUUCAGUUCGGGAUAACCCAGGGAAACUUGGGCUAAUACCGGAUACGUGCGAGAGCAGAAAGAUUUAUCGCUGAAGGAUCGGCCCGCGUCUGAUUAGCUAGUUGGUGUGGUAAUGGCCCACCAAGGCGACGAUCAGUAGCUGGUCUGAGAGGAUGAUCAGCCACAUUGGGACUGAGACACGGCCCAAACUCCUACGGGAGGCAGCAGUGGGGAAUAUUGGACAAUGGGCGCAAGCCUGAUCCAGCCAUGCCGCGUGAGUGAUGAAGGCCUUAGGGUUGUAAAGCUCUUUCGUCCGGGACGAUAAUAACGGUACCGGAAGAAGAAGCCCCGGCUAACUUCGUGCCAGCCGCCGCUGUAA
rnacentral:rRNA from 1 species